GAUGAACGCUGGCGGCGUGCCUAAUACAUGCAAGUCAAGCGAACAGACGAGGAGCUUGCUCCUCUGACGUUAGCGGCGGACGGGUGAGUAACACGUGGAUAACCUACCUAUAAGACUGGGAUAACUUCGGAAAACCGGAGCUAAUACCGGAUAAUAUAUUGAACCGCAUGGUUCAAUAGUGAAAGACGGUUUUGCUGUCACUUAUAGAUGGAUCCGCGCCGCAUUAGCUAGUUGGUAAGGUAACGGCUUACCAAGGCAACGAUGCGUAGCCGACCUGAGAGGGUGAUCGGCCACACUGGAACUGAGACACGGUCCAGACUCCUACGGGAGGCAGCAGUAGGGAAUCUUCCGCAAUGGGCGAAAGCCUGACGGAGCAACGCCGCGUGAGUGAUGAAGGUCUUCGGAUCGUAAAACUCUGUUAUUAGGGAAGAACAAAUGUGUAAGUAACUAUGCACGUCUUGACGGUACCUAAUCAGAAAGCCACGGCUAACUACGUG
rnacentral:rRNA from 1 species